AGGGCUUGAGUUGCGGGAACAGCGACCCUGUGGGGAGAGGGGAAACAUGCCGGUUAGAUGCUGGGGAAAAUAAGGCGCGGGCGCAAGGGGGCGCCUCUCCCGACUCUGGGGUGGGGGCAAGUUUGCAUUUGCAUUUUCAACGCUUGAAGGAACAGGUUUCUCCAGAUGUCUAAAUAGACCCCAGCACAUACAGACCAAGAACACUGAAUCAUCUCUUGGCCAAGGUAUAGACUGGGGGCUUGAACUUGGGUCCUUGAGCUUGGCAACAUGUGCACCACCACCUGGACCCUGACUUCACUCUUGUCUAUGAGGCUUGCUCCAGAGACUGCUCUCAUUUUCUGUGUCACUGAGAAACCAGAAGCCAAAAAUGAUGGUUAUACUUGGUCAAGUUUCCACCUGUCUUCCUUCUUGAUACAAGGUGGAAGACAUAAACAGAGAGAAGAGAGAUAACACAGCACCACUCCACCAUUUGGGAAGUUUUCCCCCCACAGAUGCUCCCAUGUGGUGGCCUGG